GAUGAACGCUGGCGGCGUGCCUAAUACAUGCAAGUCGAGCGAACAGACGAGGAGCUUGCUCCUCUGACGUUAGCGGUGGACGGGUGAGUAACACGUGGCUAACCUAUCUUUAAGACUGGGAUAACUUCGGGAAACCGGAGAUAAUACCGGACAAUAUAUUGUACCGCAUGGCUCAAUAGUGUAAGAUGGUUUUUCUGUCACUAAUAGAUGGAUCCGCGCCGCAUUAGCUAGUUGGUAAGGUAACGGCCUACCAAGGGAACGAUGCGUAGCCGACCUGAGAGAGUGUUCGGCCACCCUGGAGCUGAGACACGGCCCAGGCUCCUACGGGAGGCAGCAGUAGCGAUCUUUCCGCUAUGUGCGAAAUCCUGACGAAUCAACGGUUGAAGGGUGAUGAAUCGUUUCGGAUCGUAAAACGUUGUUAUAAGGGAAGAACAAAUGGGUAAGUCACUAUGCGCGUCUUGACCGCACCUAAUCAGAAAACCCCGGCUAACUACGG
rnacentral:rRNA from 1 species